rnacentral:rRNA from 2 species
AGUUACGAUCAUACCAGCACUACUGCACCAGAUCCCAUCAGAACUGCACAGUUAAGCCUGCUUGGGCGAGAGUAGUACUAGCAUGGGUGACCUCGUGCUGCACCUC